GAUGAACGCUGGCGGCGUGCCUAAUACAUGCAAGUCGAGCGAACGGACGAGAAGCUUGCUUCUCUGAUGUUAGCGGCGGACGGGUGAGUAACACGUGGAUAACCUACCUAUAAGACUGGGAUAACUUCGGGAAACCGGAGCUAAUACCGGAUAAUAUUUUGAACCGCAUGGUUCAAAAGUGAAAGACGGUCUUGCUGUCACUUAUAGAUGGAUCCGCGCUGCAUUAGCUAGUUGGUAAGGUAACGGCUUACCAAGGCAACGAUGCAUAGCCGACCUGAGAGGGUGAUCGGCCACACUAGAACUGAAACACGGUCCAGACUCCUACGGGAGGCAGCAGUAGGGAAUCUUCCGCAAUGGGCGAAAGCCUGACGGAGCAACGCCGCGUGAGUGAUGAAGGUCUUCGGAUCGUAAAACUCUGUUAUUAGGGAAGAACAUAUGUGUAAGUAACUGUGCACAUCUUGACGGUACCUAAUCAGAAAGCCACGGCUAACUACGUG
rnacentral:rRNA from 1 species